rnacentral:rRNA from 1 species
CCUACGGGAGGCAGCAGUGGGGAAUAUUGCACAAUGGGCGCAAGCCUGAUGCAGCAACGCCGCGUGAGGGACGAAGGCCUUCGGGUUGUAAACCUCUUUUAGCAGGGAAGAAGCGAGAGUGACGGUACCUGCAGAAAAAGCACCGGCUAACUACGUGCCAGCAGCCGCGGUAAUACGUAGGGUGCAAGCGUUGUCCGGAAUUAUUGGGCGUAAAGAGCUCGUAGGCGGUUUGUCACGUCUGCUGUGAAAACCCGAGGCUCAACCUCGGGCUUGCAGUGGGUACGGGCAGACUAGAGUGCGGUAGGGGAGAUUGGAAUUCCUGGUGUAGCGGUGGAAUGCGCAGAUAUCAGGAGGAACACCGAUGGCGAAGGCAGAUCUCUGGGCCGUAACUGACGCUGAGGAGCGAAAGCAUGGGGAGCAAACAGGCUUAGAUACCCUGGUAGUCCAUGCCGUAAACGUUGGGAACUAGAUGUGGGGACCAUUCCACGGUCUCCGUGUCGUAGCUAACGCAUUAAGUUCCCCGCCUGGGGAGUACGGCCGCAAGGCUAAAACUCAAAGGAAUUGACGGGGGCCCGCACAAGCGGCGGAGCAUGCGGAUUAAUUCGAUGCAACGCGAAGAACCUUACCAAGGCUUGACAUAUGCGAGAACGCGCUGGAGACAGCGAACUCUUUGGACACUCGUAUACAGGUGGUGCAUGGUUGUCGUCAGCUCGUGUCGUGAGAUGUUGGGUUAAGUCCCGCAACGAGCGCAACCCUCGUCCUAUGUUGCCAGCACGUCAUGGUGGGAACUCAUGGGAUACUGCCGGGGUCAACUCGGAGGAGGGGGGGGGAUGAGGUCAAAUCAUCAUGCCCCUUAUGUCUUGGGCUUCACGCAUGCUACAAUGGCCGGUACAAUGGGCUGCGAUACCGCAAGGUGGAGCGAAUCCCAAAAGCCGGUCUCAGUUUCCGGAUUGAGGUCUGCAACUCGACCUCAUGAAGUCGGAGCCGCUAGUAAUCGGCAAAUCAGCAACGCC